GAUGAAGAACGCAGCGAAAUGCGAUAAGUAGUGUGAAAUGCAGAAUUCAGUGAAUCAUCGAAUCUUUGAACGCACAUUGCGCCCUUUGGUAUUCCAAAGGGCAUGCCUGUUCGAGCGUCAUUUGUACCCUCAAGCUUUGCUUGGUGUUGGGCGUCUUGUCUCUAGCUUUGCUGGAGACUCGCCUUAAAGUAAUUGGCAGCCGGCCUACUGGUUUCGGAGCGCAGCACAAGUCGCACUCUCUAUCAGCAAAGGUCUAGCAUCCAUUAAGCCUUUUUUUCAACUUUUGACCUCGGAUCAGGUAGGGAUACCCGCUGAACUUAAGCAUAUCAAUAAGCGGAGGA
rnacentral:misc_RNA from 1 species